GUCCCUGCCCGGACCCCCCGACCAUCAGCGAGGCCCGUACCUUUGGCUGUGACGCCCCCUACGAGGAGAAUGAGAUCUGCACCUACUUCUACAGCUGUGAGAGUGGGUACCUGCAGGACGGGGUCCUCCUGAGCCGCACCUGCCAGGGCGGGAUCUGGGAACAAUCCGAUAGCAACUGCACUCAAGAAUAUUGCUUCUGGGAAGGCGCAGCUUCCUUCUGUGACCCUGAUGCUGACUGUGACUGGGAAGGCCACGUGCAGGGUGGCAGCUGCGGGGACGGACAGUGUUGUUUUUCGGACGUGGAAGUAUACAACUGUAAUGGCGAAUGAAACAGGCUCACAGAAUGGCAAGCUUAACACACUUCAUCCCCGACAUCCUGGUUCAACGGCAUGUCUACUUUCGUGGCACAGUCACUUAUUAGACACAUGCUUAUGCUCAAAAUUUAAACUAUGUUGCACAUAUUUUCACAUUUAUUUCAUAUAGAGGUUAGAUAUGCAGAGAACUGUGAAAAGUAGAGUCACAAUAAUAAUAAUUGCUCCUAAGGAGCUGUGUAACACAAGUAGAAUAACUGUCUUGAGAUAAUCUCGUUUUGACUGUAAUACAUUUGUAUAUCUAGUAUUCGGUGUAGGAGGUUUCCUUUGUUUCAACUCAACAUUGUAACAGAGACAGUGUGUGACACACUAGAGUUCUACCAUCUCAUACCUUCGCCAAAUGAUGUUUACCUUGAAGCUAGGAGCUAUGAAUAAAUCCUAAGAAUCUCAAUAUCGUGGCUACCUACUCCUAUUUGUCAGCUUGUGUAUAAUAAUGUGAGGGCACUCCAUAUACACAUGUUCGUGUUC